GACGGUACUUGAUGAAUAAGCCACGGCUAAUUCCGUGCCAGCAGCCGCGGUAAUACGGGAGUGGCAAGCGUUAUCCGGAAUUAUUGGGCGUAAAGCGUCCGCAGGCGGCCCAACAAGUCUGCUGUUAAAAAGUGGAGCUUAACUCCAUCAUGGCAGUGGAAACUGUUGGGCUCGAGUGUGGUAGGGGCAGAGGGAAUUCCCGGUGUAGCGGUGAAAUGCGUAGAUAUCGGGAAGAACACCAGUGGCGAAGGCGCUCUGCUGGGCCAUCACUGACGCUCAUGGACGAAAGCCAGGGGAGCGAAAGGGAUUAGAUACCCCUGUAGUCCUGGCCGUAAACGAUGAACACUAGGUGUCGGGGGAAUCGACCCCUCCGGUGUCGUAGCCAACGCGUUAAGUGUUCCGCCUGGGGAGUACGCACGCAAGUGUGAAACUCAAAGGAAUUGACGGGGGCCCGCACAAGCGGUGGAGUAUGUGGUUUAAUUCGAUGCAACGCGAAGAACCUUACCAGGGUUUGACAUCCUGCGAAUCUCUUGGAAACUUGAGAGUGCCUUCGGGAGCGCAGUGACAGGUGGUGCAUGGCUGUCGUCAGCUCGUGUCGUGAGAUGUUGGGUUAAGUCCCGCAACGAGCGCAACCCACGUCUUUAGUUGCCAGCAUUUAGUUGGGCACUCUAGAGAGACCGCCGGUGAUAAACCGGAGGAAGGUGUGGAUGACGUCAAGUCAUCAUGCCCCUUACAUCCUGGGCUACACACGUACUACAAUGCUACGGACAAAGGGCAGCAAGUUCGCGAGGACAAGCAAAUCCCAUAAACCGUGGCUCAGUUCAGAUCGUAGGCUGCAACUCGCCUACGUGAAGGAGGAAUCGCUAGUAAUCGCAGGUCAGCAUACUGCGGUGAAUACGUUCCCGGGCCUUGUACACACCGCCCGUCACACCAUGGAAGUUGGCCACGCCCGAAGCCGUUACUCCAACCCUUGUGGAGGAGGACGUCGAAGGUGGGGCUGAUGACUGGGGUG
rnacentral:rRNA from 1 species